GAUAUUUAGCAACUGGAGGGUUUGAUUCCUAAUUACGCGGCAAGGAAUAUUGAUUUCUGUGGCAAAGGGAUUGAUUUCCGUCUCAAAUCAAUAUUCCGUCUCUAACCUGCAUUUGAUCACUCGGCACGAGGUUAUUGAGCUUCCUCGAAGAGAGACAAAGCUCGAGCUUUCUGGAGAUGACGAUCUUCUUCAUUUUAAGAGAAUUAAGAUUGGGUAUCUGCACCUGAGGAUUCUUAGCAACAUCGGUUCCUCAAAUUUGUUAGAUCAUGCCGAAGAGAUUUGUAUAAUCUCAAGUCCAGAAAGUAGUUGAUUCUUUCCAUCUUCGGGGAGCCGCUAUCACCAUCUCGAUUCACUGUUAGUCAAAGUCAACGUCAACGAUCAAAAUCAAGAACAGUAAAAGCUUGGAAUCUUUCCGGAUACAUAGCGAUUUGCUCCUAGACAAGAAGACCAACCUUCAAGCUCCACAGCAAGCCAGGUCUCACCCACAAAAAAAGAGACAUUCAGACACGGAUAGCAGGCCACUCCUCAAAUCCCAUCACCAUUACCAUCAAACAAAUUUCCAAAAAGUGCCAACAACUCAGUUGAGACUUCCAAGCAACUGUCAGCUUUUGCAAACGAUGAAUCUAACAUUUUAUAAUCAGCUGAUAGUUCGUCUUAACAGCAAUCAUAUUGCCAAGUCUGACCAUUUUUUGUAAGAUAUACCUAUU